rnacentral:rRNA from 1 species
AGUGAACGCUGGCGGCGUGCCUAAUACAUGCAAGUCGAACGGAGUGGCGCACGGGUGGGUAAUGUAUAGCUAAUCUGCCCUACACUAGAGGACAACAGUUGGAAAAGACUGCUAAUACUCUAUAGUGUAGGAUGAGGCUAUAUUGUAUCAGCUAGUUGGUGAGGUAAUGGCUCACUAAGCCUAUGACGCAUAACUGGUCUGAGGGGAUGAGCAGUCACCCUGGAACUGAGACACGGUCCAGGCUCCUUCGAGAAGGAGCAGUAGGGAAUAUUGCUCAAUGGGGGAAUCCCUGAAGCAGCAACGCGGCGUGGAGGAUGACAAUUUGCGAAGAGUAAACUCCGUUUGUUAGGGAAGCGGUACCUAAAUAAUAAGCACCGGCUAACUCCGUGCCAGCAGCCGCGGUAAUAC